UCACAAGAAAUGGCUGCUUCACAAGUUACAUUGUCUUGCAACAAAUCUAGCAUAGCUGUCGAAUCCAAGCCGCUUAUUGAGACCACAAGGCCCGAGAAGCCCAAUGCCGUAUCACGUUGUACCUGGCAGCUCGGAAUGACUCCAGACCUGAGCCCUCAUAGCCAUGUUGAAUUGUCAACAUGUCACCAAAACGUGAGCUUGGACUGCUAACAUGAAGUGUUAGUACUGUCGCUACGUACCAGAAGCUGGCAGUAGCACCGGUCUUAGUACUAAGGCAACGCUUCCUGACUCUCUCUUUCUUUUAAUAACUGCUUCUUCUUUUUUGGAAGGGACUAUUGCAAAUUUGUUGUAUAAACUAUAUAUAUAUGGGAAUAAUAUUUGUGAUUAUCCUUUAGUAAGUUGAAUAACAUCAUUUUCUGUUGGCUAAUGGACACUUUAAUUUGUGAUCCAUUAAUUGUUGCUUUUCAAACAAUUUUUAUAAAUUAGUUUAAAUUUAUGAUACAAUAUUAUAUGAUAUUGUAAUUAAAUUAAUAAAUUUUACACAGUUAUACAAUGAAAAGUACAAUUGUUACAGUAACCAUUGUAUUUUAAUAACCAUUUUUUUUUGUAAAAAUCUGUACUACUACUUUUUGCGAAGUUUUGCAAAAAUUUGUAAUUUUUUUUAUAAACUCGAUUCCCUAUUGUUAAAUCAUUGAGAGGGGUGACUGAUUGAAAGGUAAAUAGAAUGAUAGAUAUUCAAAAUUAACAAUAAUAAUAAUAAUAAUAAUAAAAAAAAAAAAAAAAAUAAUAAUAAUAAUAGAUGUAGAGAAAGCACAUUGCAUCACAAAAUAAGUUUAGACAAAAAUUCCUCCUAUUCCGUAAACCAAUCCUGAUCCACUGUUGGAGAUUGUUUUUUCUAAAUAGAUAAUCGUAAGGCCCACAAAAGUAAGAACAAGCAAUUAAAAUAAAAUUGUUGGGUAUAUUUUACAAUA